CAGGAUUAGAUACCCUGGUAGUCCACGCCGUAAACGAUGUCGACUUGGAGGUUGUGCCCUUGAGGCGUGGCUUCCGGAGCUAACGCGUUAAGUCGACCGCCUGGGGAGUACGGCCGCAAGGUUAAAACUCAAAUGAAUUGACGGGGGCCCGCACAAGCGGUGGAGCAUGUGGUUUAAUUCGAUGCAACGCGAAGAACCUUACCUGGUCUUGACAUCCACAGAACUUUCCAGAGAUGGAUUGGUGCCUUCGGGAACUGUGAGACAGGUGCUGCAUGGCUGUCGUCAGCUCGUGUUGUGAAAUGUUGGGUUAAGUCCCGCAACGAGCGCAACCCUUAUCCUUUGUUGCCAGCGGUCCGGCCGGGAACUCAAAGGAGACUGCCAGUGAUAAACUGGAGGAAGGUGGGGAUGACGUCAAGUCAUCAUGGCCCUUACGACCAGGGCUACACACGUGCUACAAUGGCGCAUACAAAGAGAAGCGACCUCGCGAGAGCAAGCGGACCUCAUAAAGUGCGUCGUAGUCCGGAUUGGAGUCUGCAACUCGACUCCAUGAAGUCGGAAUCGCUAGUAAUCGUGGAUCAGAAUGCCACGGUGAAUACGUUCCCGGGCCUUGUACACACCGCCCGUCACACCAUGGGGAGUGGGUUGCAAAAGAAGUAGGUAGCUUAACCUUCGGGAGGGCGCUUACCACUUUGUGAUUCAUGACUGGGGGUGAAGUCGUAACAAGGUAACCA
rnacentral:rRNA from 1 species